rnacentral:rRNA from 1 species
AUUGAACGCUGGCGGCAGGCCUAACACAUGCAAGUCGAGCGGAUGAAGGGAGCUUGCUCCUGGAUUCAGCUGCGGACGGGUGAGUAAUGCCUAGGAAUCUGCCUGGUAGUGGGGGAUAACGUCCGAAAACGGGCGCUAAUACCGCAUACGUCCUGAGGGAGAAAGUGGGGGAUCUUCGGACCUCACGCUAUCAGAUGAGCCUAGGUCGGAUUAGCUAGUUGGUGGGGUAAAGGCCUACCAAGGCGACGAUCCGUAACUGGUCUGAGAGGAUGAUCAGUCACACUGGAACUGAGACACGGUCCAGACUCCUACGGGAGGCAGCAGUGGGGAAUAUUGGACAAUGGGCGAAAGCCUGAUCCAGCCAUGCCGCGUGUGUGAAGAAGGUCUUCGGAUUGUAAAGCACUUUAAGUUGGGAGGAAGGGCAGUAAGUUAAUACCUUGCUGUUUUGACGUUACCAACAGAAUAAGCACCGGCUAACUUCGUG